GGGACACGUGGUAUCCUGUCUGAAUAUGGGGGGACCAUCCUCCAAGGCUAAAUACUCCUGACUGACCGAUAGUGAACCAGUACCGUGAGGGAAAGGCGAAAAGAACCCCGGCGAGGGGAGUGAAAAAGAACCUGAAACCGUGUACGUACAAGCAGUGGGAGCACAGGUUUACCUGUGUGACUGCGUACCUUUUGUAUAAUGGGUCAGCGACUUAUAUUCUGUAGCAAGGUUAACCGUAUAGGGGAGCCGGAGGGAAACCGAGUCUUAAUUGGGCGUUAAGUUGCAGGGUAUAGACCCGAAACCCGGUGAUCUAGCCAUGGGCAGGUUGAAGGUUGGGUAACACUAACUGGAGGACCGAACCGACUAAUGUUGAAAAAUUAGCGGAUGACCUGUGGCUGGGGGUGAAAGGCCAAUCAAACCGGGAGAUAGCUGGUUCUCCCCGAAAGCUAUUUAGGUAGCGCCUCGUGAAUUCAUCUCCGGGGGUAGAGCACUGUUUCGGCUAGGGGGCCAUCCCGGCUUACCAACCCGAUGCAAACUGCGAAUACCGGAGAAUGUUAUCACGGGAGACACACGGCGGGUGCUAACGUCCGUCGUGAAGAGGGAAACAACCCAGACCGCCAGCUAAGGUCCCAAAGUCAUGGUUAAGUGGGAAACGAUGUGGGAAGGCCCAGACAGCCAGGAUGUUGGCUUAGAAGCAGCCAUCAUUUAAAGAAAGCGUAAUAGCUCACUGGUCGAGUCGGCCUGCGCGGAAGAUGUAACGGGGCUAAACCAUGCACCGAAGCUGCGGCAGCGACGCUUAUGCGUUGUUGGGUAGGGGAGCGUUCUGUAAGCCUGUGAAGGUGGCCUGUGAGGGUUGCUGGAGGUAUCAGAAGUGCGAAUGCUGACAUAAGUAACGAUAAAGCGGGUGAAAAGCCCGCUCGCCGGAAGACCAAGGGUUCCUGUCCAACGUUAAUCGGGGCAGGGUGAGUCGACCCCUAAGGCGAGGCCGA
rnacentral:rRNA from 1 species